rnacentral:rRNA from 1 species
UACGUAGGGGGCGAGCGUUGUCCGGAAUUAUUGGGCGUAAAGAGCGUGUAGGCGGUUCGGUAAGUCUGCCGUGAAAACCUGAGGCUCAACCUCGGGCGUGCGGUGGAUACUGCCGGGCUAGAGGACGGUAGAGGCGAGUGGAAUUCCCGGUGUAGCGGUGAAAUGCGCAGAUAUCGGGAGGAACACCAAUGGCGAAGGCAGCUCGCUGGGACGUGACUGACGCUGAGACGCGAAAGCGUGGGGAGCAAACAGG